rnacentral:lncRNA from 1 species
CCCCAGUAGCUGACCGUAUAAUGCACCUGCCCAAUCCCACCGUUGGGGACAAGGCAGCCCGUCUGAUCUGAAAACUGUGUCCGUUAGUUGUGGUCACGGCUGUUGGAGCUGCACUACAACACGUAAAGGCCUCAAGGGGUACGAUCAAGGCCCUGUCCUCUUGUCCCAUUGGGAAUUCCGCGACGGACGAGAGCCUCAUAGAUGCCCUCAGUCGACGGCUGGUACAUACCGGAUACCGGGAAGGGCGCCAGGGGUCAACCCAGGGGUGGUCGCUGCUGGCCAGGCACUCGCGCCUGACACGCGCACGCUGGCUGCCCUGACCGCAGUGCGUGUUGUAGCCGUAGACCCGGGCUGCGUGAACUACCUAGUUGCCCGCGUCGGCUACCUGGCUGCCUUCAGCCCACCUCUACCUACGCGGGUGGCAGUGCAGCCGGUUGCAGUCCAGAGCCAGCAUGCAGUUUAGGGCUGUGGCAUCCCCUGCGACAUUACCGCCAGUGGGGCAAGCGGCAGUGGCGCCUGACUGUGCACAUUCGGGACCAAAAACUUAGCGUUUGUUACGGUAAUGAAUCCGUCUGCUCCCAUUAGCCUGCUUUCAUGCAUGUUCUGCUCGUACAAAUUCUAAUGCCUUGCGCCUGUUCUGCUGCAUGUGCAGGUCUUCGAGCACACAGCUGGUGGAAGGCCCAAGGAGGAAGUCAUUGUCGGCUGGGGCAACGCCAACACUGGCAACGGAGGCAGCUGUGUCAGCAGGUCGGGCAGGGCCCCAACCCGGGCGCUGCUAGUAGACAUGCACGUGGGCGAGUACUACAUUGGCCAGGCAAGCAUGUGCUUAUAAGGACUUGGCAGGGGCCGUUAUAGGGCGCAGCACUCAAUUGCACAUGAAUGUGUUGCAGGUGUGCGCAAAGUGCGGACGGCGCCUGCUUGGUAAUGGGCAGCGCUGCUUGCAAGUGAUGAUUCCGUUUGGUGGCUCGCGUGCCCGCGACGCCCAAGUGUGCUAACAUUGCGGGACUGUGUGGGUAAGCCUGCCUCAGAUUCAGCCGGUUCAAGGGGACCAGGACAAGUCUCGGAUAUAGACUCGGCAGUUAAGUGGGAUUCCAUCCCCUGACGUCCCGCAUGGAUGUUGUACCGUACUGCAGGGUCGCGACGCCAACUCAGCGGCGAACAUGCGGCACGCGCUGAUGGAGUGUGCGAUGGGACAGGGUUUAGGCAGGUUGGCGAGGUCCCGUAGGGUGCAGCUGACGCCCAUACCCCAGCAGACGGCAUACAAUUUGCAGCGGCAGAGCAGAAGUGCAUGGCUGGUCGAACGCCGGAGUUACUGUACCGACAAGUUGCUGGCUGGCUGGCGAACAUACGGCACGCGCUGAUGGAGAUCCUGCUUGCUUGGUAGAGCGCGUCCUGCGCCCUGCGCCAUGGUAGCGGCGAUGGUGGCGGCGGCGGCGCCCGGCGGCGCAGGGCCUGGCGGGGGCGGCGGCGGCGCUGGCCCUGGGUGCUGCGGCGGUGACGCAGGGCCCGGUGGUGGCGCAGG